rfam:Xenopus tropicalis strain Nigerian scaffold_304_contig_11, whole genome shotgun sequence.
GCCUACGGCCAUACCACCCUGAAAGCGCCCGAUCUCGUUUGAUCUCGGAAGCUAAGCAGGGACGGGCCUAGUUAGUACCUGGAUGGGAGACCGCCUGGGAAUUCCAGGUGUUGUAGGCU